GGAAUUUUCCGCAAUGGGCGAAAGCCUGACGGAGCAAUACCGCGUGAGGGAUGACGGCCUGUGGGUUGUAAACCUCUUUUCUCAAGGAAGAAGUUCUGACGGUACUUGAGGAAUAAGCAUCGGCUAACUCUGUGCCAGCAGCCGCGGUAAUACAGAGGAUGCAAGCGUUAUCCGGAAUCACUGGGCAUAAAGCGUCUGUAGGUGGUUUGGUAAGUCUGCUGUUAAAGACUGGGGCUCAACCCCAGAAAAGCAGUGGAAACUGCCAGACUUGAGUGUGGUAGAGGUAGAGGGAAUUCCUAGUGUAGCGGUGAAAUGCGUAGAUAUUAGAAAGAACACCGGUGGCGAAAGCGCUCUACUGGACCAUUACUGACACUCAGAGACGAAAGCUAGGGUAGCAAAUGGGAUUAGAUACCCCAGUAGUC
rnacentral:rRNA from 1 species